CUUGAAGGACCAAGAAGGCUUAUUCUGAUGAAGCAAGACUUUGCUGAUACACUCCUCCUAGACAAAGCAGUGGAGAGAGCAGCCCUUAACAUAGAAAACUACAGGGAUGACUGUAUUACCCAACAUUU
ensembl:scaRNA